GGUGUGAUGCCUACAAAACAAUACCUUUGUGCCUAUAAUUAUGUCGAAAGUGGUUCAGGGAGGGCUUUGGCACCUGGACAGCUGUCUGUAGAAAGAGUAUAAAAGUGUUUGGAAUAAGCCAAGACAUUCACUCAUUCUUUCCUUGGCUCCAAUCGGUUGUCCUCUGUUCUCUGAAACACUUGGACCCCUCCUUGAACUUCCUACAAUGACCAGCUUUGGUGGAAACAACUCAUCCUUCCCCGGCAGCAACCCCUGGGGACGGAUGCCUUCGAACUCAUUCGGCUCCACACCAGGCAACUUCGGCACUAACGGCGGUUGGCGAAGCUUCGGUGGUGGCGUGAACCAAGGAGGCUUCUCUGGCAACGGUGGCGGCUUCGGCAUGCCUUGCAACCAAGGCGGCUUUGGAAAUUUCGGUUACGGUGGUUCGGGAGGUCCAUGUUCGUUCGGGGGAUUCGGUGGCCAGGGAAACGGUGGCAUGUGGGGCAAGCCUAAGCCCUGCUCUCCUUCUCAGUGGGGUGGAGGUUGGGGAAACUGAACCCCCAAAGCUUUCGGUGGGUGAACUGGAAGCACUCGACAAACACCAAUCCAUCUAUCAUUUUGUAACAACCAAUUGGGGGUUUCCAAAUCUAUAUCGGGGGUAUUUCUAGUUAUUAUGUCUUUUUACCUAAAGAGAGUUAAGAGAAGGAUGCUAGCUCUCUUUUGACCUUGUGUACUGACUCUCCAAAAGUCAGCAAAACAAUAAAGAUUUACAUGAAACAUA